rnacentral:tRNA from 1 species
GGAGAGGUCGCAUAGUGGUCUAGUGCAGCGGUUUGCUAAACCGCGUCCCCGAAAGGGGACUCGUGGGUUCGAAUCCCACCCUCUCCGCCA